GGAACUUAAACGGUAUUCCAGCCACUAAACCAUUGAUCAUAAGGUACACUGUUUCAGUAUGCUGUAUCAUACAGUCUGUAUGUCAUAGUUGUUUUAAUAUAAAUAUUUUAUCAUAUGUUUAUAAUUAUAACGAAAAACCGUUCGGCCGCGGCGGUAAAUACGAGUUAAAUAAAUAAAUAAAAUCUCGCGUGAAUGCAUUAUGUUGACUCGUCAGAAUAUAAUAUUUACGAGUGUGUACGAAUGAUGAAGCACAUUAUAUAUUAUUGUAUUGUACGUAGUAUACGUUUGAACGUUUUAUAAAACAAAUCGUAUCUAACUAUAUGUUUUUACCGCUUCUUUUCGGCGCACGCCUACGUCGACACGUGCGAUAGUAUAUUUUCUCGCAGUGUUACUGAGAGUUCACAAAGAGAGUGUUUAUGCUUAACUAUAUAUGAAUAUAAGUAUUUAGUAUAUAUUUGUAUAUUGGUACAACAGCCGUAUACUGAAAUACGUACAACGAACGACAAUGGAGAAUUAUUAAAACGAAAUGCACGGACAGAACAAAUAAACGUAAAUACUAACAAUCAUGGUGUUUCAGAUUUUCUUAUCACCGUCGAAUUAGAAUAAUGAAGUUUAUGAAAUACGUAAAAUAUUUCCUCGAAGACUUUUAGCGCUUAAUAUAAAGAGACAAUAUUAUUCUAUUGAUAUGAACCUAUAACAUCCAGACUUUACUGGAUAAAAGAAUACCAUCUUCACAAGAAACCUCUCUUACGGGAGUGAAUUCCAUGCACAUAGACCAUUGUGCAUUGUAAGCAAACCUUACAGCUUAGCAAGGUGUAUCUCAUCAUGGAUAACUGAGAUUGCAAUAUCGAUUUCAAGUGAUGCUUCGUACGAAAUUUUUGGCGUGAAAUUUGAAAACUAUAAGGAAAAACAAUCAACGUCAUUGUCCGUGGUCCAGCGAUGUGUGGUUUACAAUAGCCAUUUACAUUGUAUGGUGGCGUGUCUUUGAGUAGUCAGCUACUUUGAAAUAAAUAAUAUAUGGAAUAUCGACAUAAUUUAUUGAGUAUGAAGUGAACUAAAGUAACAGAAAUAUUAAAAUGGACGAAAAUGUAUUGCAUGUCGCAUAUUACAUUUUUGUACACUUAUUUUCAAUAACACUUAUUUUCCUAAAACUAUUUAGUUUUUAUUUUUAACUAUUUUUUUACUUUUAGGAAAUAAAAGAACUUAAAUUACAUAUCAUAUUAUCAUGAAAGUAGUUAAAAUUUUUUCUUAAAAGCACUACCGACAUCCGAUUUGUUAUCUCCGUCUUACCAGUGCGAACAUAGCAAAUCUACUCUCAGUAAUUCACAUUUAACUAGGUUCCUUAUGAGUUAAUCUUAUUGUAGUUAAAAAAAAUCAAAAAUCGUUAGUUACAAUUUUUUUUAUAAACAUUUUUAGUUUAA